rnacentral:lncRNA from 1 species
UGAUUAUAACACCACAGAAUUAACCUCAGUCAUUUUAUUUACAGACGGUCAGAAUAUAAAGUGAAAUUCUGACCAGAAGCAGUGAAUUUAAUGGUCUCUGUUACUUUUCCACGAUAACUUGUUUUGGAGAAUACAACGUUCUGAGAGGCAGAAGUCUGCAGGUGACUGCUGCACUCAUCUCGGCAUCCAUUGUUCCUAUUUAUGGAGAAGGAAAGUCAGUUUGCUCUCUCGAGACUUUCUCUGUUAAUCCUGGCAGGACCCCAUUUGUUUACCUGAGAAAAUGGUUAAGAUCUCAUUGCUUUUCUCACCAGCCCACAGUGAGGAUUUCCUUUCACACAGAAAUGUCAUCAGCACCUGAUAAAAGUGGAACCGGGUCAGAAACAGUUUUCCCCUCACUGCAAAAUUAUUUCAUAUUUCAAAAGGAC